UACGUAGGGUGCAAGCGUUAAUCGGAAUUACUGGGCGUAAAGCGUGCGCAGGCGGUUUUGUAAGUCUGUUGUGAAAUCCCCGGGCUCAACCUGGGAAUUGCGAUGGAGACUGCAAGGCUAGAAUCUGGCAGAGGGGGGUAGAAUUCCACGUGUAGCAGUGAAAUGCGUAGAGAUGUGGAGGAACACCGAUGGCGAAGGCAGCCCCCUGGGCCGAUACUGACGCUCAUGCACGAAAGCGUGGGGAGCAAACAGG
rnacentral:misc_RNA from 1 species